UACAGAGGAGCCAAGCGUUGUCCGGAUUGACUGGGCGUAAAGCGCACGCAGGCGGAUACGCGCGUGGGGUGUGAAAUCUGGCCGCUUAACGGCCAGGCGCCAUCCCAUACGGCGUGUCUGGAGCUGUGCAGAGGUCGGUGGAAUUGCCGGUGUAGUGGUGAAAUGCGUAGAGAUCGGCAGGAACACCCAGGGGGAAACCAGUCGACUGGGCAUCUACUGACGCUGAGGUGCGAGAGCGUGGGGAGCGAACCGG
rnacentral:rRNA from 1 species